rnacentral:rRNA from 1 species
AUAAAAUCCAAUCUUAUAAUAUAACUUAAAUAAAAACACUUACAUAUCUAUUCUCAUAAUCUAACUUUAAAAGUACUAAAAAGGAAAUCACAAAUACUUAAAAGUAGUGUGUAGAUCACGUACCUUGUGCAUUAUGGUUUUACAAGUACAUAAUUAAAUAUAAAAUCCCGAAUACUACGCGAGCUGCUACCCCAUAGCUAAGAGCCCCUUACCAGUUGUAGCACCAACUCUAAAAAAUGGGGUGGCAGAGGCUACAUACCAACCGCGCUAGAAAAUAGCUGGUUAUCAGUAAACUUUAUAUAUUAAACCAUAUAGUAUAUCUAUAAUGUUAAAUCUUAGAGGACAAGCCCUAAAAUUACAAACUAAAUAACCUUUAUAUUAAACUAAUAGGCCUAAAACCAGCCACUUUCAGUACUUUAUCGUACUUCUUACUCAAUAAAUAAAUUAACAUGUUUCAAAAAACUGACAUUUUAGGAAAAUACAUA